rnacentral:rRNA from 1 species
AUUGAACGCUGGCGGCAGGCCUAACACAUGCAAGUCGAACGAGUGGCGGACGGGUGAGUAAUGUCUGGGAAACUGCCCGAUGGAGGGGGAUAACUACUGGCAACGGUAGCUAAUACCGCAUACCAUCGGAUGUGCCCAGAUGGGAUUAGCUCGUAGGUGGGGUAAUGGCUCACCUAGGCGCCGAGCCCUAGCUGGUCUGAGAGGAUGACCAGCCACACUGGAACUGAGACACGGGCCAGACGCCUCCGGGAGGCAGCAGUGGGGAAUAUUGCACAAUGGGCGCAAGCCUGAGGCAGCCAUGGCGCGUGUAUGAAGAAGGCCUUCGGGUUUUAAAGUACUUUCAGCGGGUAGGCGUUACCCGCAGAAGAAGCACCGGCUAACUCCGUGCCAGCAGCCGCGGUAAUUC